rnacentral:rRNA from 1 species
GGGUCCGUAGGUGGAUAAUNAGUNGAGGUGAAAUCCUGCAGCUCAACUGUAGAAUUGCCUUUGAUACUGGUUAUCUUGAGUUAUUAUGAAGUAGUUAGAAUAUGUAGUGUAGCGGUGAAAUGCAUAGAUAUUACAUAGAAUACCAAUUGCGAAGGCAGAUUACUAAUAGUAUACCGACACUGAUGGACGAAAGCGUGGGGAGCGAACGGGAUUAGAUACCCUGGUAGUCCACGCCGUAAACGAUGGUCACUAGCUGUUCGAGCUUCGGUUUGAGUGGCUAAGCGAAAGUGAUAAGUGACCCACCUGGGGAGUACGUUCGCAAGAAUGAAACUCAAAGGAAUUGACGGAGGCCCGCACAAGCGGUGGAGCAUGUGGUUUAAUUCGAUGAUACGCGAGGAACCUUACCAGGGCUUAAAUGUAAAUUGACAGAUUUAGAAAUAGAUUUUUCUUCGGACAAUUUACAAGGUGCUGCAUGGUUGUCGUCAGCUCGUGCCGUGAGGUGUCAGGUUAAGUCCUAUAACGAGCGCAACCCCUGUUGUUAGUUGCCAGCGAGUCAUGUCGGGAACUCUAACAAGACUGCCAGUGCAAACUGUGAGGAAGGUGGGGAUGACGUCAAAUCAUCACGGCCCUUACGUCCUGGGCUACACACGUGCUACAAUGGUAGGGACAGAGAGCAGCCACUGGGUGACCAGGAGCGAAUCUAUAAACCCUAUCACAGUUCGGAUCGGAGUCUGCAACUCGACUCCGUGGAGCUGGAAUCGCUAGUAAUCGCAUAUCAGCCAUGAUGCGGUGUAUACGUUCCCGGGCCUUGUACACACCGCCCGUCAAGCCANGAAGCUGGGAGUGCC